rnacentral:sRNA from 1 species
CUGAAGAACUUCUGCUCAUGUCCAAAUAAACAGUGGCCUCAGCAUCUCCUUGAACCCCUUCUGAUACUGAAGAAAUUUUCCAGAAAAAAAAAUGAAUAGUCUUACAACAGAGGAAGAAAGCCUGAGGAAGUCUUUGGACCUGAAGAAGACCCUGGAGUCUCCUGUGGCAGUCAGGAAGGACAUGAUGGCCACAGUUUUCUCCCUCAGCCACAGGCCACAGCAACAUCAGCACAGUAGAUUCAGUCACUCAUUCUGAAGCAAGAUUCACCCGGAUGUGGCUAUUCGCUCUAUCCUUGGGAUGCCGUGGACAAAUAAGUCAUCUAAGCAUCGUCCCCGUAAGUGGAGGCAACCUGUACAGGGCUGCUACCAAGGUGCGAAGCAAUAAAUACCGACUGUUGCUGCC